UUAAUCAAUGAGAGAAGAUUUGAAAUAGACAAGAUGGAGGUGUACACAUUGUUGGAUUAAUUCAUGGAGCAUUUUCUAAAUUCAAACAUACCACAUGCAACUGGACACAGAUAUUUUGAAGGAUACAUGUUUGACUGAAUCGAGAACAAAGAUAAUAUCAGCAAGUUAAGCUGCUUGAUGCAUGUUCGACAAUGGUAGCAGAGGAGGAGAAGGAGAUAUUGGCGGGUCGGAGACGGUUGACAUCAUGUCGGACGAGAUCGUUGAGGGGAUCGUUGGGUGGUGAGACCUCCUAGGUUCCGCAGCGAGGAGCUCACUACUUUGUGUAAGGUGCUGCAAGGAAGUCUGGAGGCUGACCACAGGUUUCAGGCUACACACUCCAGAUGUCACACCAUAGGGGUGGCAGGGUAGCCUAGUGGUUAGAGUGUUGGACUAGUAACCAAAAGGUUGCAAAUUCAAAUCCCCAAGCUGACAAGGUACAAAUCUGUCAUUCUGCCCCUGAACAGGCAGUUAACCCACUGUUCAAUGACAUCAUUGAAAAUAAGAGUUUGUUCUUAACUGACUUGCCUAGUAAAAUAAAAAGGAAC
ensembl:lncRNA